CCUUGGUCUGGGAUUCUCUGUAGGGAAAGAAGCCAAUCCUGUUUGGGGAGGUUCAUUAGUUUCUUUUCCCCUCCAGAUUUUCCCUGUUCAUUCCCCUGGAAUUUUCUUGUUUGCUUUUGUUGUCUGCAGAAAACCCUUGCAGGCUGCAAGGGACACAAAUUGUCCUUGGAGCCAGGAUCGGAUCUUGUUCCUGCAGGUUCCUCCCCAGCUGUUAAUCCCUUGUCACAGCUCGGAGGUGAAGAGCAUCACGAGAAAAUCCCCACUCCAGGCACCCAGGACUCCCUGCCAGACACCAGGGGAGAUGUUGUGACUCUCCAGAUUCCGGCACAAACGCAUUCCUGGGUCGCUGGGACGGUGUGAUGGAUAUUUAAUAGCCCUGCCACCCUUGGGGAUGCACUGAGAAACUGCAAACAGAAGAAUGGAUGGGCUUCUCUCUCUUCCUUUUUUCUUCAUCCUUAAAUUUAGGUGACACUGAUGGAUUGCCCAGAGCUGGGACAGCCUGCAGAAUUCUGUGUCCUCCAAAUCGAAACAUUUCUUCUCUAAGAACCCAGAUUCCCACUUUUCCUGGAGAGCAGCAUCAGGAGCUUGGGACACCUGGAGGGAGCCGGAUCCUGGCACAUGGAGCAGCUGACUUUGUGUGCAAUAAUUUGGUUGGACAUCCAGAGAAACAAUCCCUUCCCAAGAUCCAUCCAUUCUCCCUCCUCAGACAGGGAUUUGAAGCUUUUCUUUCUUCACCCAAGGCGAAUUCCAGCUCCCCUCCUGCCCUGCAGGAGCUGCUGAGCUCCUCCUGCCACAGAUCAGGCAAUUUAUGGGAUUAUUAUCACCAACACAAUCAAUGCGUGCCAUCGUUCCAGCACAAGGAAGAGGAAUCUCUAUGAAAAUACCUCGUGUUUGCCAAAAUUGAAAAGAUAACAUUCCUGAGAAUGAGGCUGGAUUCACCUAAGGUCUCUUCAAGUUCUGGGAUGGUGAAAUUUGCAGUCUCAGCAGCCUGGACAGCAAAACAGGGCUAAGAAAGAGGGAAUUCUUCCCUCCUGGAAAUGCCUCUCGGAUCUGGCUGCGAAACAUUCCGUGGUUAAUACUUCAUGGAGGUGCAGCACUGGGGAGACUCCUGCACUGCUCCCAAAGAACUGAUCCAGCUCAGCAUUUCCCAGCUCCCUGGGAGGAUUCCAUCAGCUGGAAUGGUGGGAAAUGAUGGAACUGGUGACCCAAAGAGAUUGAAUCCUCUCCUGUCCCAUCCCAAGGGAUGCUCUCCCACCUCUUGGAGGAUGUCUGGGUUCUUGUAGGCUGCAGCACUGGGAGAUUCAUGCACAAGCCCACCUGCAAGUGGUUUAUUUUUCUGUUGAGGUCAUGGAAGUUGACCCAAAAGGCUCCUUGGCCUUGUUUGGUGAUUAAUUCACCCAUUGGCUUUGCUGUCCUUGGAUCCCCUGCGUUGUGAUUCACUGUUUGACACCUGAACAGCUGCUGGCUUUUCCUUCAGAGCCUUGGAAGAGGCAAAAUGUAAAUAGGAAAUCACAUCCCUAAAGGUUGGAUGCACAGUAGCACACAAAAUCCACAUCCAGCCCGCUUGGCCCCCAGCACAGAAACCCCUCGAACACACAUCCCGCUGCCUCCGGCGAUCCCGGGAUUCCCGGGAGCACCAGAGCCCAGCCCAGCAGGGUAAGUGAUCAGUCCAGAUUCCAUGAAAGAUGAGUCCCUGUGGGAGUUUGGUUCCUCUAUUUUUCAUGCCAUUCUGCUCCAGCCAGAUUUAUGUGUCAGGAAAAACAUACAAACGGGAUCCGAUUUACUCGCACGAGUUCCUGUUGGGUUUGAUUUAUGUUUGGGUAAAUAAAGACAUAUGUCUUGGAGGGCUUGGGCUCUGG
rnacentral:lncRNA from 1 species